AAAUUUAAGAUAAAUAUUUAAAUAUACUGUUUAUUUUAUAAAAUUUAAUAUAGUAUCAAAGCGAAUCUUAUCGAGUAUAACGAUCCGACCCGCUAGCAACAAUAACUCGUUGGGCCAAACCAUCGGCCCAAAAUGCCAGUUAUUAUUAUUAGCGUGUAGACCUUAUAUAAACUAGUCGAAAUCAGGCAUUACACCGUUAUUAUUAUUAGCGUGUAGACCUUAUAUAAACUAGUCGAAAUCAGGCAUUACACCGUUAUUAUUAUUAGCGUGUAGACCUUAUAUAAACUAGUCGAAAUCAGGCAUUACACCGUUAUUAUUAUUAGCGUGUAGACCUUAUAUAAACUAGUCGAAAUCAGGCAUUACAAACUCCCUCUCUUUAUACCCUGACGUCCUCGUCGGGUCCAAAUCAGAUCACAGACAGACACCCGCAUAGCACUUAGCUCUCAUACUUCCGGCUGAUAUUCGGCUUUGAUAUCAAUUACAACGACCCAACCCGCUAGAAACAAUAACUCGUUGGACCCAAACCACCGGCCCAAAAUGCUUAAGGCUAGUUAUUAUAACAAGCGUGUAAGUCUCAUAUAAACUGAUCGGAAUCAAUAUCCCAUCCGAUGUGGGACUAUUGGAGCGUUACAUCGAUCUUCUUGCUUUGUUUAAUUCAGUAGAGAGAU
rnacentral:lncRNA from 1 species